AAUGAGUUAGUAGCUCGCUGAAUCAACUGGAGGGGAUAGCUCAAUGCUUUCCCAACAAGCUUGACUUGUGGAAUCCUGUAGUCAGGGGAAAGCUCAUUUUUUG
rnacentral:ncRNA from 1 species